GACGAACGCUGGCGGCGUGCCUAAUACAUGCAAGUAGAACGCUGAAGGGAGAGCUUGCUCUUCUGGAUGAGUUGCGAACGGGUGAGUAACGCGUAGGUAACCUGCCUGGUGGCGGGGGAUAACUAUUGGAAACGAUAGCUAAUACCGCAUAACAGCAAAUGUUGCAUGACAUUUGCUUAAAAGGUGCAAUUGCAUCACUACCAGAUGGACCUGCGUUGUAUUAGCUAGUUGGUGGGGUAACGGCUCACCAAGGCGACGAUACAUAGCCGACCUGAGAGGGUGAUCGGCCACACUGGGACUGAGACACGGCCCAGACUCCUACGGGAGGCAGCAGUAGGGAAUCUUCGGCAAUGGACGGAAGUCUGACCGAGCAACGCCGCGUGAGUGAAGAAGGUUUUCGGAUCGUAAAGCUCUGUUGUAAGAGAAGAACGAGUGUGAGAGUGGAAAGUUCACACUGUGACGGUAUCUUACCAGAAAGGGACGGCUAACUACGUGCCAGCAGCCGCCGUAA
rnacentral:rRNA from 1 species